AUUAACUACAAGGACACUAUAGAUCUCACUGCUUGCAUGACAAACUGUGUAUAAAUGCUAGCCCUGAAAAUAUACUCAUUGAGAACUUGUUAAGCACUCUUUUGUGUCUGUGUGUCUUAAUUUGCUAACAAGAACUCCCAUCAAUUGAUGUGACCGGAGGAUCGAGAAUCGAGGGGAGUUGAGUCCAGAACAGCAUUAACCCUUUCAGCUUGGUGUCAGAAGUGGGAUACAG